GACGAACGCUGGCGGCGUGCCUAAUACAUGCAAGUCGAGCGAAGUUUUUCUGGUGCUUGCACUAGAAAAAAUUAGCGGCGAACGGGUGAGUAACACGUAAAGAACCUGCCUCAUAGACUGGGACAACUAUUGGAAACGAUAGCUAAUACCGGAUAACAGUAUUUCUCGCAUGAGAGAUAUUUAAAAGUUGGUUAUGCUAACACUAUGGGAUGGCUUUGCGGUGCAUUAGCUAGUUGGUGGGGUAAAGGCCCACCAAGGCGACGAUGCAUAGCCGACCUGAGAGGGUGAUCGGCCACACUGGGACUGAGACACGGCCCAGACUCCUACGGGAGGCAGCAGUAGGGAAUCUUCCGCAAUGGGCGAAAGCCUGACGGAGCAACGCCGCGUGAGUGAAGAAGGAUUUCGGUUCGUAAAGCUCUGUUGUUAGGGAAGAAUGGAUAUGUAGUAACUAUACAUGUAAGAGACGGUACCUAACCAGAAAGCCACGGCUAACUACGUG
rnacentral:rRNA from 1 species